rnacentral:rRNA from 1 species
GCUUAACACAUGCAAGUCGAGGGGCAGCAUGGUCUUAGCUUGCUAAGGCCGAUGGCGACCGGCGCACGGGUGAGUAACACGUAUCCAACCUGCCGUCUACUCUUGGACAGCCUUCUGAAAGGAAGAUUAAUACAAGAUGGCGUCAUGAGUUCACAUGUUCACAUGAUUAAAGGUAUUCCGGUAGACGAUGGGGAUGCGUUCCAUUAGAUAGUAGGCGGGGUAACGGCCCACCUAGUCUUCGAUGGAUAGGGGUUCUGAGAGGAAGGUCCCCCACAUUGGAACUGAGACACGGUCCAAACUCCUACGGGAGGCAGCAGUGAGGAAUAUUGGUCAAUGGGCGCAGGCCUGAACCAGCCAAGUAGCGUGAAGGAUGACUGCCCUAUGGGUUGUAAACUUCUUUUAUAAAGGAAUAAAGUCGGGUAUGGAUACCCGUUUGCAUGUACUUUAUGAAUAAGGAUCGGCUAACUCCGUGCCAGCAGCCGCGGUAAUACGGAGGAUCCGAGCGUUAUCCGGAUUUAUUGGGUUUAAAGGGAGCGUAGAUGGAUGUUUAAGUCAGUUGUGAAAGUUUGCGGCUCAACCAUAAAAUUGCAGUUGAUACUGGAUAUCUUGAGUGCAGUUGAGGCAGGCGGAAUUCGUGGUGUAGCGGUGAAAUGCUUAGAUAUCACGAAGAACUCCGAUUGCGAAGGCAGCCUGCUAAGCUGCAACUGACAUUGAGGCUCGAAGGUGUGGGUAUCAAACAGGAUUAGAUACCCUGGUAGUCCACACGGUAAACGAUGAAUACUCGCUGUUUGCGAUAUACGGCAAGCGGCCAAGCGAAAGCGUUAAGUAUUCCACCUGGGGAGUACGCCGGCAACGGUGAAACUCAAAGGAAUUGACGGGGGCCCGCACAAGCGGAGGAACAUGUGGUUUAAUUCGAUGAUACGCGAGGAACCUUACCCGGGCUUAAAUUGCAGAUGAAUUACGGUGAAAGCCGUAAGCCGCAAGGCAUCUGUGAAGGUGCUGCAUGGUUGUCGUCAGCUCGUGCCGUGAGGUGUCGGCUUAAGUGCCAUAACGAGCGCAACCCUUGUUGUCAGUUACUAACAGGUUCUGCUGAGGACUCUGACAAGACUGCCAUCGUAAGAUGUGAGGAAGGUGGGGAUGACGUCAAAUCAGCACGGCCCUUACGUCCGGGGCUACACACGUGUUACAAUGGGGGGUACAGAGGGCCGCUACCACGCGAGUGGAUGCCAAUCCCAAAAACCUCUCUCAGUUCGGACUGGAGUCUGCAACCCGACUCCACGAAGCUGGAUUCGCUAGUAAUCGCGCAUCAGCCACGGCGCGGUGAAUACGUUCCCGGGCCUUGUACACACCGCCCGUCAAGCCAUGGGAGCCGGGGGUACCUGAAGUGCGUAACCAAGAGGAGCGCCCUAGGGUAAAACUGGUGACUGGGGC